rnacentral:tRNA from 1 species
GGUUCUGUGGUGUAACGGUUAUCACUCUGGACUUUGAAUCCAGCAAUCCGAGUUCAAAUCUCGGCGGAACCU